rnacentral:tRNA from 1 species
GGGUUUGUAGCUCAGUGGUAGAGUGCUUGCCUCGAAUGCAUGAGGCAUUGGGUUCAAUCCUCAGCACCCA